GGCCUCGGGUGGUGGGCUUGGAGCUUCCCUACGUCCGGGCGCUGCGAGAGCGCUCGGGCGAGCGGCUGAGGCGCUGCCAGCGGCAGGGAGGGACAGGCAGCACUGCGGUGCGGAGCCCCGGGGACACCGGCGCCGCUGGAGGGCAGGCAAAGGGACAGCCAGCUCCCUGAGUGCUGCUGGAGUUCAGGAGAGGCAGAGCAGGGACUGAUGUGGAUGAGUGGCUGCAAGCAGAGACCCCACUGGCCCGUAAAGGAUUGAAAGUAGAUGGUUCCUGCUUGAAGCAGAAAAAAAUGAAGAUAUCAUUCAGCUGACCCUGGGAAAUAAGCUUUUAUAAUCAAUUGGAAAAAUAAAGCUGGAUUUCAAAAUAUUU